UACGACUACAUAUCAGGCAUAUCAAUAAGCGGAGGAAAAGAAACUAACUAGGAUUCCCUCAGUAACGGCGAGUGAAGCGGGAAGAGCUCAAAUUUGAAAUCUUCAAGGUUUUACCUUGACGAAUUGUAGUUUAAAGAAGUGUUUUCUGUUGGAGUUUUGGUAAAAGUUCUUUGGAAUAGGACAUCAUAGAGGGUGAGAAUCCCGUAUUUGACCAUUAUUUCCAGCUUUGUGAUACACUUUCAAAGAGUCGGAUUGUUUGGGAAUGCAGUCCAAAAUGGGUGGUAAAUUUCAUCUAAAGCUAAAUAUUGGCGAGAGACCGAUAGCGAACAAGUACCGUGAGGGAAAGAUGAAAAGAACUUUGAAAAGAGAGUUAAACAGUACGUGAAAUUGUCAAAAGGGAAGCGUUUGACACCAGUGUUGUUUCUACGAAAAUCAAUUUAUGAUGGCUUGAUGCUAAGCUUUAAGACUUUAUCCGCUUGUUGUUUAGUUUUCUUGUCUUUGUGAAUGCACUUUUCGUGAACAAGUCAACAUCAAUUUCUUUUGCUGUAAAAGGGUAAGAGGAAGGUGGCUUCGGCUUCGGUUGAAGUGUUUAUAGCCUUUUAUCUCUGCAGUCGGAGAGAUUGAGGUCUGCAGCGUAGACUCUUCGGGGUUAGAUACGUCGGUGCUAAGCUAUAGCUUUUCAUAGACAACUUGUUGACUAUGUUUAGUCAUGUGGCUUACCCGCUGGCGCUAUUUUACCUACGCUUAGGAUGUUGACACACGCGCGUGCUCG
rnacentral:rRNA from 1 species